GUCGCGAUGGAUGACUUGGCUUCCUAUUUCGUUGAAGAACGCAGCAAAGUGCGAUAAGUGGUAUCAAUUGCAGAAUCAUUUCAUUGCCCAAUCUUUGAACGCAAACGGCGCAUGGGAGAAGCUCUCUCGAGCCAUCCCCGUGCAUGCCACAUUUCUCAGUGUCGAAUAUCAAA
rnacentral:rRNA from 1 species